rnacentral:lncRNA from 1 species
UGAAAAUGACAAGAAUUGUGAUUAUUAUCCUACUGCAGGUUGCUCCAAAAAGUGAGUGCUGAAUUUCUCAGAUGUGCCUAUGUAAGGCCUGGAAAAGCAGAAGAGUAUAGACUGAGGGUAUCUUUCAGAGGUAGAGCACAGGCCUGGUUUCCACCUGCAGCACCACAAAAAAGAAUAAUUUUACCUCCACAUUCCACAGUGUGUACUUGUUAAGAAUAAAAAUACUCUCUUACUAAUCCAGAAUACUUAGCAUCCUAAGGAAAAAAUUUUUUUUAAAAAGGACCACACUAUAUAGCCCAGGCUGCCUGCCUCAGCUGCCCCA